GUCUCUUCGUGAAACGGUUUCGAUUCUCUCACUCUCGUGAGCACGAACGUGGUCAAAGUCGUGCGGAUUCUCGACAGUUCACCACACAGGGAGUGUGAAAGGGAGAUUGGGCGAGAAGGAGAAAAAAAAACCCAGAGAAAUUAGAAAUGGCGAACGGCGGCCAAUCCCUUAUCAAAAUGGGUUAAGCCGGUUAAGAAAUCAAGAAGAGCAAAACUGUGUCAAGUCAUUAUCGCUCCGACAAGAAGACAACUAAAGGUCAAACCCUAACCGAUGAUUAUGAUGAUGGCCGGUUGUCCGAGCUGACUUACCUUGGGGUCCCGUUCGUAGUAGUGCUGCUGAGUUCGGAUCCAGCGAGACACCAGGUGGUCCUUGACGGUGUGCGCCAGGGCAAAGUAGUAGUCACGCGUGGUGGCCACAUUGCGAUCCUUGACCAGGGUGUAAUGGAGAUGGCGGUUGAAACCCUUCUUGAUCUCGUUCACAUCCUCCAGCACCGAAAUGCCCCGCACACUGAUCUGUUUGCGCUUCUGCUCGUCCGACUGUGGCUUCGACAUCUUGGCCACUUACAGUACCUUCACUCACUUAAAGAAUCAGAAUCGAACAAAGUGUCCCACCAGGAAAGACCAACUGUUCAAUAAAAGCGCAGGAGAGAACCA